rnacentral:rRNA from 1 species
GAUGAACGCUGGCGGCGUGCCUAAUACAUGCAAGUCGAGCGAACAGACGAGGAGCUUGCUCCUCUGACGUUAGCGGCGGACGGGUGAGUAACACGUGGAUAACCUACCUAUAAGACUGGGAUAACUUCGGGAAACCGGAGCUAAUACCGGAUAAUAUAUUGAACCGCAUGGUUCAAUAGUGAAAGACGGUUUUGCUGUCACUUAUAGAUGGAUCCGCGCCGCAUUAGCUAGUUGGUAAGGUAACGGCUUACCAAGGCAACGAUGCGUAGCCGACCUGAGAGAGUGAUCGGCCACACGGGAACUGAGACACGGUCCAGACUCCUACGGGAGGCAGCAGUAGGGAAUCUUCCGCAAUGGGCGAAAGCCUGACGCAGCAACGCCGCGUGAGUGAUGAAGGUCUUCGGAUCGUAAAACUCUGUUAUUAGGGAAGAACAAAUGUGUAAGUAACUAUGCACGUCUUGACGGUACCUAAUCAGAAAGCCACGGCUAACUACGUG